rnacentral:pre_miRNA from 1 species
AGGGCCGGUGUCCCAGGCGUCGUGGGACCGCCCUCAUGCCUGUGGCGGUGGGAUCCGUGUUUGUUUUCCAAGUGGCCCUGAAGGC